CUGAUUCCAUCCCGAACUCAGAAGUGAAACGAAACAGCGUCGAUGGUAGUGUGGGGUCUCCCCAUGUGAGAGUAGAACAUCGCCAGGC
rnacentral:rRNA from 1 species